UUCCUCAGUGGGUUUGUAGCCCUGUCUGCCUGUGUGACCUGGAACUGUCCCUAGGCGUCCCUAGGGCUGCCUGGUGAUGGCUGGGCAAGGCAGACUUUAGGUAAGAGCUGGAGAAUCUCAUGACUUCAUGCUUUGGGCACACCUGAUGGAGCUGUAAGCUGCUGCAACUUUUCAAGCCUUCUUCAGACUAUUAUUUCUUGUUUGCAUCAUAACACCUGGAAAGUGAAGAAAGGCGCUCACUGUGUUAAACAGCGGAUGAAUGCCUGGAAUUAGCACUUGCAAGGUGUGGAGGUUUGGAGUUUUACUGUUGACCAGAACACCUGAAGGAUUUCACCUAUGAUGAAAAACAUUCCCUGUCCGCAAAUCUCAGGCUCCCAAUGAGUAAGGCAGGUUCACAAGGAGGGGAGAGGCAGAAGCAGCUUGUGCAGAUCUGCUGUGGGGCAGAGAACAAGUCCUCCUGCCUGCUGGCACAGCCCAGUGCCCUGGAUCUCUGUUUAACAUCCCUUAAAAUAACAUUUUCUUGAUUUAGCAUCAUUAACAUCGAAUCUUUUUGUGCUUUCAGCUGAACUGUUGCUCUAAUUUGAAUGUUUAAUUAAUUAAUUUCUUAAAAGAAAAAAAAAAAACAACAAAAAAAACUCAAACUGGUUACAGUACCUUUACUUUCCUGUAGAAUUGCAAAUUUUCUGGUGCAGACCCAGAAUGUAAUUUUGUAACGCUAUUCUAAUUAUCUAGGAUGUGGCAUAACACAAUAAAAGUAGUAAAAUAUCAUGAGAUGUUGCAGCCAUGCUGGUGAAAUACGGCAGAUGUACUCUCACACAGAAUGCAUUACUUGGAGGCAAAAAUUAAUUUCCCGAAAUGAAAACUCGAUAGCUUGAUUGGUCUUUGCUGCUUUUUGGAACUAGAAUCGUGAUGCGGUACCUUGCUAGCUUAAGGCACUCCAAUGUCCCUCAAUGAAAUCAAGCUGCUUCUAUAUAGCUUUAACUUAAUUCUGAGUACUGCAUUUUUGUUUUUACUGUAGUGCUCAUAACACAGUGUGGUUAAAUGAUAGCUAGAAAUAAUAUGUUGCACUAACUGCUUGCAAGAUGUUUUACUUACAAUUUAUAACUAUUUAAUACAUGUGCAGAUUAGUGCAAUAUUAUGAUCAUUUUAAGAAGUGACAUUAAUUUCAGUAUUCAAUUUAACUGCAGUUGAACUAUAGAUGUCCAAAUAAAACCAUAUGUUCAGAUCCUUUUCUAUGCAGUGUAAAUGCAAUGUUUUAAAUAAGCAAAAUCCUAAUUAGUUACUUAACACAAAAAUGUAUCUCUGUACUUGAGAUCCAUGCAUGGAUCACACACUAUAGCGAGUCUGGAAUAAUAUCACAUAGACAAGCCCUCAACUCUAAGAAAGCAUAAGUAUGCAAUUUGCCUAAAAUUUAGCUUGAGCUAUUUGAUGUUUGGAAUGCAAAAUAAGAAGAGGAAUCAAAGGAAAAAUGAAGGGAAAUUUAGUCCCGCUCAGAUUCAGUAAGAAGGUGUGACUUGUGUACUACCCAUCUGCAUAAAUACUCAAAGAGUGAUAAACUGAAGUGUCAGGUAUGGUUACACUUAAUAUUAACUUCUAUGCAAGGCUUAGUUACCAUAUACUGUCCAUGUGCUGCAGUGGGAAUCCAUAGGCUAUUUUAUCUGUUGGCUUGAUAUAAAGAAAUAAUGUAAACAAGCUACCUAAUUUUUUUACAAGCCUUGCUGGUAGUGUUAUAAUUUGCUUCACAUGCCAUAACAUUUCUACAUGACUGAACAAAAUAAGGAAUACUCUUUGAUUUAACAAUGACAUAUUAGAAAUGGGAGCAUGUGAAACAUGCCAGUGUUUUGCAAAAAUAAUUCUCCUGAAAGUUGCUCUGUGCUUAUGCUGUCGCCAGUGCUCUGAAAUUAUACUUUCUUUGUCUAUGCAAAUUCUGCAGUGAAGUUUUAUCUUUUCCUUCUGUGCAUUUUGCACUCAUGUUCAUAUAUCUGUCAUCAGAGCAUUAAAAAAUCAUA